rnacentral:rRNA from 1 species
AGUGAACGCUGGCGGCAUGCCUAACACAUGCAAGUCGAACGGCAGCACAGUAUUAGCUUUCUCUUCCGGGGGCCGACUGGCGGAUGGUUCAGCAGUACAUGCGAAUCUACUUUGUAUAGCGGGAUGACGUAGGGAAUCAUACGCCAUUCGCGCAGACGACCUACGGGUGGGAGCAGGGGAUCUCCCGCCCUUGCACGAGCCGAUGUCGGAUUAGCUAGUUGGUGGGGUAAAGGCUUACCAAGGCGACGAUCCGUAGCUGGUCUGAGAGGAUGAGCAGCCACACUGGAACUGAGACACGGCCCAGACUCCUACGGGAGGCAGCAGUGGGGAAUUUUGGACAAUGGGCGCAAGCCUGAUCCAGCCAUGCCGCGUGGGUGAAGAAGGCCUUCGGGUUGUAAAGCCCUUUUGUUCGGGAAGAAAAGCAGUAGGUUAAUACCCCGCUGUUCUGACGGUACCGGAAGAAUAAGCACCGGCUAACUUCGUG